UGCAAGUCGAACGGCAGCAUGGAGAGCUUGCUCUCUGAUGGCGAGUGGCGAACGGGUGGGUAAUAUAUCGGAACGUGCCUAGUAAUGGGGAAUAACUAAUUGAAAGAUUAGCUAAUACCGCAUACGACCUACGGGUGAAAGCAGGGGAUCUUCGGACCUUGCGUUAUUAGAGCGGCCGAUAUCUGAUUAGCUAGUUGGCGGGGUAAAUGCCCACCAAGGCGACGAUCAGUAGCUGGUCUGAGAGGACGAUCAGCCACACUGGAACUGAGACACGGUCCAGACUCCUACGGGAGGCAGCAGUGGGGAAUUUUGGACAAUGGGGGAAACCCUGAUCCAGCCAUUCCGCGUGAGUGAAGAAGGCCUUCGGGUUGUAAAGCUCUUUCGAAAGUAAAGAAAUCUUAUUUCGUAAUAUGUUAUAAGGAUGACGGUAACUUUAGAAGAAGCACCGGCUAACUACGUGCCAGCAGCCGCGGUAAUACGUAGGGUGCGAGCGUUAAUCGGAAUUACUGGGCGUAAAGCGUGCGCAGGCGGUUUUAUAAGUCAGAUCUGAAAUCCCCGAGCUCAACUUGGGAACUGGGUUUGAAACUAUAAGGCUAGAGUGUGUCAGAGGGGGGUAGAAUUCCACGUGUAGCAGUGAAAUGCGUAGAGAUGUGGAGGAAUACCAAUGGCGAAGGCAGCCCCCUGGGAUGACACUGACGCUCAUGCACGAAAGCGUGGGGAGCAAACAGGAUUAGAUACCCUGGUAGUCCACGCCCUAAACGAUGUCUACUAGUUGUUGGUGGAGUAAGAUCCAUAAGUAACGUAGCUAACGCGAGAAGUA
rnacentral:rRNA from 1 species